ACGAACGCUGGCGGCGUGCUUAACACAUGCAAGUCGAACGGGACUGAGUUGAAAGCUUGCUUUGAAAAGUCUAGUGGCAAACGGGUGAGUAACGCGUAGGCAACCUGCCUCUAAGAUGGGGACAACAGUCCGAAAGGACUGCUAAUACCGAAUGUUGUGAGUUUUCCGCAUGGAGGACUCAUUAAAGAUGGCCUCUACUUGUAAGCUAUCACUUAGAGAUGGGCCUGCGUCUGAUUAGCUAGUUGGUGGGGUAACGGCCCACCAAGGCGACGAUCAGUAGCCGGUCUGAGAGGAUGAACGGCCACAUUGGGACUGAGACACGGCCCAGACUCCUACGGGAGGCAGCAGUGGGGAAUCUUCCGCAAUGGGCGAAAGCCUGACGGAGCAACGCCGCGUGAGUGAAGAAGGUCUUCGGAUCGUAAAGCUCUGUCGAAGGGGACGAACGUGGGUUCUAUCAACAACGGAACCUAAUGACGGUACCUUUCAAGAAAGCCACGGCUAACUACGUGCCAGCAGCCGC
rnacentral:rRNA from 1 species